rnacentral:misc_RNA from 1 species
GAUGAAGAACGUAGCGAAAUGCGAUAAGUAGUGUGAAUUGCAGAAUUCCGUGAAUCAUCUAAUCUUUGAACGCACAUUGCGCCUUCUGGUAUUCCGGAAGGCAUGCCUGUUCGAGAGUCAUUAACAACCGUUUCGAUCCCUUUCUUUCAGAAAUUACAAAGAGGAAAAGGGUUUGGUUAUGGUGGAGGAGGGAAAGGGAGCGUUUAGCCUGUAAAAAAAGAGGCUGUGUUCCGCCUCCCCCCCAAAAUUGUACAGGCGGUCGUGUGCGCCCACGCAUCGAGGUGUUGUAAAAGCUGCCACGGCACUUUUCACCUGUGCAGUGCGAGAUUGGCCAGCCGGUUUAAAAACCCCUCCAAACAAUCAAAGGUUGACCUCGGAUCAGGUAGGGAUACCCGCUGAACUUAAGCAUAUCAAUAAGCGGAGGA